UGCCAGCCGCCGCGGUAAUACGGAGGGUGCAAGCGUUGUUCGGAAUUAUUUGGCGUAAAGCGCGUGUAGGCGGUUCGUUAAGUCUGAUGUGAAAGCUCGGGGCUCAACCCCGAAAAUGCAUCCGAUACUGCCUUGCUAGAGUGAUGGAGGGGAGUCUGGAAUUCACGGUGUAGCAGUGAAAUGCGUAGAUAUCGUGAGGAACACUAGUGGCGAAGGCGAGACUCUGGACAUCUACUGACGCUGAGGCACGAAGGCUAGGGUAGCGAAGCGGAUUAGAUA
rnacentral:rRNA from 1 species